rnacentral:misc_RNA from 1 species
AGACCUUGAUCCUGCUUUAAUUAGUCGGUUUGACUUGAUGAUCACAUUUGGGUUACCUGAUGAACGGAACCGUGAGGAAAUAGCAGCUCAGUAUGCAAAGCAGCUAACAAAAUCUGAAUUGAACGAGUUCGCAAGAAACACAGAAGGAAUGUCUGGAAGGGACAUCAGGGAUAUUUGUCAGCAAGCCGAGCGUUCAUGGGCAUCAAAGAUAAUUCGAGGGAAAGUAUCAAAAACUGG